rnacentral:rRNA from 1 species
AGCGAACGCUGGCGGCAUGCCUAACACAUGCAAGUCGAACGAGACCUUCGGGUCUAGUGGCGCACGGGUGCGUAACGCGUGGGAACCUGCCCUUAGGUUCUGAAUAACUCCCCGAAAGGGGUGCUAAUACCGGAUAAUGUCUUCGGACCAAAGAUUUAUCGCCUUUGGAUGGGCCCGCGUUGGAUUAGCUAGUUGGUAGGGUAAAAGCCUACCAAGGCGACGAACCUUAGCUGGUCUGCUAGGAUGAUCAGCCACACUGGGACUGAGACACGGCCCAGACUCCGACGGGAGGCAGCAGUAGGGAAUAUUGGACAAUGGGCGAAAGCCUGAGCCAGCAAUGCCGCGUGAGUGAUGAAGGCCUUAGGGUUGUAAAGCUCUUUUACCCGGGAUGAUAAUGACAGUACCGGGAGAAUAAGCUCCGGCUAACUCCGUG